rnacentral:rRNA from 1 species
UGCAGUCGAGCGGUAGAGAGAAGCUUGCUUCUCUUGAGAGCGGCGGACGGGUGAGUAAUGCCUAGGAAUCUGCCUGGUAGUGGGGGAUAACGCUCGGAAACGGACGCUAAUACCGCAUACGUCCUACGGGAGAAAGCAGGGGACCUUCGGGCCUUGCGCUAUCAGAUGAGCCUAGGUCGGAUUAGCUAGUUGGUGAGGUAAUGGCUCACCAAGGCGACGAUCCGUAACUGGUCUGAGAGGAUGAUCAGUCACACUGGAACUGAGACAGGUCCAGACUCCUACGGGAGGCAGCAGUGGGGAAUAUUGGACAAUGGGCGAAAGCCUGAUCCAGCCAUGCCGCGUGUGUGAAGAAGGUCUUCGGAUUGUAAAGCACUUUAAGUUGGGAGGAAGGGCAGUAACCUAAUACGUUAUUGUUUUGACGUUACCGACAGAAUAAGCACCGGCUAACUCUGUGCCA